UCCGGUUUGUCACCGGCAGUCUCAUUAGAGUGCCCAACUGAAUGUAGCAACUAAUGGCAAGGGUUGCGCUCGUUGCGGGACUUAACCCAACAUCUCACGACACGAGCUGACGACAGCCAUGCAGCACCUGUGUUACGGCUCCCUUUCGGGCACCCUCACAUCUCUAUGAGGUUCCGUACAUGUCAAGGGUAGGUAAGGUGGGGAUGACGUAUGCGUAACAGAA
rnacentral:misc_RNA from 1 species